rnacentral:rRNA from 1 species
GACGAACGCUGGCGGCGUGCCUAAUACAUGCAAGUAGAACGCUGAAGGAGGAGCUUGCUUCUCUGGAUGAGUUGCGAACGGGUGAGUAACACGUAGGUAACCUGCCUGGUAGCGGGGGAUAACUAUUGGAAACGAUAGCUAAUACCGCAUAAUAGUAGAUGUCGCAUGACAUUUGCUUAAAAGGUUCAGUUGCAUCACUACCAGAUGGACCUGCGUUGGAUUAGCUAGUUGGUGAGGUAACGGCUCACCAAGGCAACGAUACAUAGCCGACGGGAGAGGGGGAGCGGCCACACUGGGACGGUGACACGGCACAGACUGCCUCGGGAAGGAGCAGUAGGGAUACUUGGGGCAGGGGCGGAAGUUUGACCGAGAUACGCCGAGGGAGGGUAGAAGGUUGUCGGGUCGGAAAGGUCUGUUGUAAGGGAAGAACGCGCGUGAGAGUGGAAAGUUCACUCUGUGACGGUAACUUAUCAGAAAGGGACGGCUAACUACGUG